CAGGGGACAGCUGGAAGAAAGACUCGUCAACGGCCGAGUGCUGGCGCCGGCGCCGUCUGCGCAGUAUCCGUUAUAGCACUGAUGUGAGUGUAGAUGAAGUAAAAGCUUUGGCUUCUCUGAUGACAUACAAGUGUGCAGUGGUUGAUGUGCCGUUUGGGGGUGCUAAAGCUGGUGUUAAGAUCUAUCCCAAGAACUAUACCGAUAACAAACUGGAAAAGAUCACAAGGAGGUUCACCAUGGAGCUAGCAAAGAAGGGCUUUAUUGUCUUUGUAUCCAGACAAUUCUAGCCUCAUGGAAUGAGUUGAGGAGUGUUCCUUCCUCUUCUGUUUUUGGAAAAGCUUUUGAAAGUCCACAGAUGUGGGGAUCUCAAGAAGCAGGCGUUCCUGGAACUGUUUCCCCUUCCUGUGCUUCUGGUAUUGAAAACCAUUCAUCACCUGCCUGAAUUCUUCAGUGGUCUUCAAAGAAAAGUAAAUAAAAUGUUAAGAA